GCCAUGGCUAUUUAAGGCAUUCUCACAGGUGAUCGAUCUGUUCUACGUCAACCCUAUGGUUGCCAUGACAAAGAAGGCAGUCGAGGUCAUCGAAUUCCGGCGCCAGAACCCUCAGCUGGUUCUGCCUGACAUGGCGCAAAUUCUUCUGGACGAAGCACUUGCGAGAAAAACCGCAGAAUUGAAGGAGAACAACGAGGCCAUAAGAACUCCCGUUCCGCUUCCUAUGGAAACACUGACCGAUAUAGCGACAAACUGCAUGAAUAUAUUUCUUGGAGGGU